CAGGGAUUGCCUCAGUAACGGCGAGUGAAGCGGCAACAGCUCAAAUUUGAAAUCUGACCCCUUUGGGGCCCGAGUUGUAAUUUGUAGAGGGUGUUUCGGGCGCGGCGCCGGUCUAAGUUCCUUGGAACAGGACGUCACAGAGGGUGAGAAUCCCGUAUGUGACCGGCGAUCAAGCCCAUGUGAAGCCCCUUCGACGAGUCGAGUUGUUUGGGAAUGCAGCUCAAAAUGGGUGGUAAAUUUCAUCUAAAGCUAAAUAUUGGCCAGAGACCGAUAGCGGACAAGUAGAGUGAUCGAAAGAUGAAAAGCACUUUGGAAAGAGAGUCAAACAGUACGUGAAAUUGUUGAAAGGGAAGCGCUUGCAAUCAGACCGGUCCGGGGGCGAUCAGCCGCUGCUUGUCAGCGGUGCACUCGCCCUCGAUCCGGCCAGCAUCGGUUUGGGCGGCGGGAGAAAAGUCCCGGGAAUGUAGCUUCUCUCGGGGAGUCUUAUAGCCCGGGUCGACAUGCCGCCCGCCUGGACCGAGGACCGCGCUUCGGCUAGGAUGCUGGCGUAAUGGUUGCAAGCGACCCGUCUUGAAACACGGACCAAGGAGUCUAACAUCUAUGCGAGUGUUUGGGUGUCAAACCCGGGCGCGGAAUGAAAGUGAACGGAGGUGGGAACCCGUCAGACGGCGCACCAUCGACCGAUCCAGAUGUCUUCGGAUGGAUUUGAGUACGAGCAUAGCUGUUGGGACCCGAAAGAUGGUGAACUAUGNCCGGAUAGGGUGAAGCCAGAGGAAACUAUGGUGGAGGCUCGCAGCGGUUCUGACGUGCAAAUCGAUCGUC
rnacentral:rRNA from 1 species